rnacentral:misc_RNA from 1 species
UCCCCGUCUUGGAUUGACCAUACUGGCCUUCUCUGCCAUGGCAAUCCCUCUAUUAAACCCCUCCCUCCAUUAACGAAAACCGCGCAAUCUUCCAGUUUAUUAUAAAUUUCCUCUAUCAAUCACCAGUGUCUCUGCUACACAUUUCCCAUCUCUCCUCCCAGAUCCAAAGGUCCAAUUUUCAAUGGCAACGAACAACGACACACACAGAUCCGGAUCCGCCACCCCCACCCCCACCGUCAAUGGCGACGCCGAAGCUCC